rnacentral:lncRNA from 1 species
UUUGAUUGUUCUCCCUAUUAACAAAUAUGGACAUUAGCGAAUACAUGGAUUCCAACCAAACACACCUGUAAUAGGCCGAAUUUUCCCGGGCCCAAAAGCACAAACAAAACAAUAAAUCAAAUAUAAAAACAAAUAAAAUUAAAAUGCCAUUAUUGAACAGUCCAGUUUUUUUUUUUACAAACACUAAGUCCAAAUUACAGACCAAGUUAAAUUAAGCCCAAACUCGGUCACAAAAUAGAAAUACCCAAUGAACCCCAACACCAGCCUUAUGCCCAGCCCAA